GACGUAGGGUCCGAGCGUUGUCCGGAGUUACUGGGCGUAAAGGGCGCGUAGGCGGCUUUGCAAGUGACGGGUGAAAUCCCUCGGCUUAACCGAGGAACUGCCUGUCAGACUGCAUGGCUUGAGACCGGGAGAGGUGAGUGGAAUUCCCAGUGUAGCGGUGAAAUGCGUAGAUAUUGGGAGGAACACCAGUGGCGAAGGCGGCUCACUGGACCGGUACUGACGCUGAUGCGCGAAAGCGUGGGGAGCAAACAGG
rnacentral:rRNA from 1 species